rnacentral:rRNA from 1 species
AUUGAACGCUGGCGGCAGGCCUAACACAUGCAAGUCGAGCGGAGCGGCGGACGGGUGAGUAAUGCCUAGGAAUCUGCCCGGUAGUGGGGGAUCACGUCCGGAAACGGGAGCUAAUACCACAUACUAUCAGAUGAGCCUAGGUGGGAUUAGCUAGUUGGAGGGGUAAAGGCCUACCAAGGCGACGAGCCGUAACUGUUCUGAGAGGGUGAUCAGUCACACUGGAACUGAGACACGGUCCAGACGCCUACGGGAGGCAGCAGUGGGGAAUAUUGGACAAUGGGCGAAAGCCUGAUCCAGCCAUGCCGCGUGAGUGAAGAAGGUCUUCGGAUUGUAAAGCACUUUAAGUUGGGAGGCGUUACCAACAGAAUAAGCACCGGCUAACUUCGUGCCAGCCGCCGCGGUAAUUC